AAAGCUACAGUAUCCUCUCCUCCACAUCAGUAACAAAAGGAGGUAAAACAAAUAGUUACUGGAAUUAAAAAUUCUGCAGUUGAGUUCCAAAUAAAAAAAGUAUUACACGGUGUUAGGCCGGUGGCAGCCCCCAGCGCGGCGGGACCCGGUGUCCCCGGAGUCGGGUUGUUUGGGAAUGCAGCCCGAAGCGGGUGGUAAACUCCAUCUAAGGCUAAACACCGGUACGAGACCGAUAGCGGACAAGUACCGUAAGG